AUUGAACGCUGGCGGCAUGCCUUACACAUGCAAGUCGAACGGCAGCAUGGGUGCUUGCACCUGAUGGCGAGUGGCGAACGGGUGAGUAAUGCAUCGGAACGUACCCGGAAGUGGGGGAUAACGUAGCGAAAGUUACGCUAAUACCGCAUAUUCUGUGAGCAGGAAAGCGGGGGAUCGCAAGACCUCGCGCUUCCGGAGCGGCCGAUGUCGGAUUAGCUAGUUGGCGGGGUAAAGGCCCACCAAGGCAACGAUCCGUAGCGGGGCUGAGAGGAUGAUCCGCCACACUGGGACUGAGACACGGCCCAGACUCCUACGGGAGGCAGCAGUGGGGAAUUUUGGACAAUGGGCGCAAGCCUGAUCCAGCCAUGCCGCGUGAGUGAAGAAGGCCUUCGGGUUGUAAAGCUCUUUCGGCUGGGAAGAAAUCGCAUCUCCUAAUACGGGGUGUGGAUGACGGUACCAGCAUAAGAAGCACCGGCUAACUACGUGCCAGCCGCCGCGGUAA
rnacentral:rRNA from 1 species